rnacentral:rRNA from 1 species
UACGUAGGGAGCAAGCGUUGUCCGGAAUUAUUGGGCGUAAAGAGCUCGUAGGCGGUUUGUCGCGUCUGCUGUGAAAACCUAAGGCUCAACCUUGGGCUUGCAGUGGAUACGGGCAGACUAGAGUGCGGUAGGGGUGACUGGAAUUCCUGGUGUAGCGGUGGAAUGCGCAGAUAUCAGGAGGAACACCGAUGGCGAAGGCAGGUCACUGGGCCGCAACUGACGCUGAGGAGCGAAAGCGUGGGGAGCAAACAGG